GAUGAAGAACGUAGCGAAAUGCGAUACUUGGUGUGAAUUGCAGAAUCCCGUGAACCAUCGAGUCUUUGAACGCAAGUUGCGCCCGAAGCCAUUAGGCCGAGGGCACGCCUGCCUGGGCGUCACACGUCGUUGCCCCCCCAUCUACUCCUUCGGGAUUGCGGGGGGCGGAUGAUGGCCUCCCGUGCGCCUCGCCGCGCGGUUGGCAUAAAUGCCAAGUCCUCGGCGACGCACGCCACGACAAUCGGUGGUUGCGAAACCUCGGUUGCCCGUCGUGUGCGGUCGUCGCGCAUCGAGGGCUCGAAAAAAUUGCCGGGUUCCGGCUCGGCUUUCAACGCGACCCCAGGUCAGGCGGGGUUACCCGCUGAACUUAAGCAUAUCAAUAAGCGGAGGA
rnacentral:misc_RNA from 1 species